GCGAGAGUGGCGGAAUGGUAGACGCGCAAGGUUCAGGUCCUUGUGCCCGCAAGGGCGUGGGAGUUCAAGUCUCUUCUCUCGUACCA
rnacentral:tRNA from 3 species